rnacentral:rRNA from 1 species
CUACGGGCGGCUGCAGUGAGGAAUAUUGCGCAAUGGGGGAAACCCUGACGCAGCGACGCCGCGUGGAUGAUGAAGGCCUUCGGGUCGUAAAAUCCUGUCAGAAGGAAAGAAGUGUAUGGUAGCUAAUAUCUGCCAUACUUGACGGUACCUUCAAAGGAAGCACCGGCUAACUCCGUGCCAGCAGCCGCGGUAAUACGGAGGGUGCAAGCGUUGUUCGGAAUUACUGGGCGUAAAGCGCGCGUAGGCGGUUUUAUAAGUCAGAUGUGAAAGUCCACGGCUCAACCAUGGAAGUGCAUUUGAAACGGUAAGACUUGAGUAUUGGAGGGGGUAGUGGAAUUCCCGGUGUAGAGGUGAAAUUCGUAGAUAUCGGGAGGAAUACCGGUGGCGAAGGCGACUAUCUGGCCAAAUACUGACGCUGAGGUGCGAAAGCGUGGGGAGCAAACAGGAUUAGAUACCCGGGUAGUC